rnacentral:rRNA from 1 species
UACAGAGGAUGCAAGCGUUAUCCGGAAUGAUUGGGCGUAAAGCGUCUGUAGGUGGCUUUUUAAGUCCGCCGUCAAAUCCCAGGGCUCAACUCUGGACAGGCGGUGGAAACUACCAAGCUGGAGUACGGUAGGGCAGAGGAAUUUCCGGUGGAGCGGUGAAAUGCGGUAGAGAUCGGAAAGAACACCAACGGCGAAAGCACUCUGCUGGGCCGACACUGACACUGAGAGACGAAGCUAGGGGAGCGAAUGGG